rnacentral:ncRNA from 1 species
CUGACCGGUACGCAUGGGUCGACGUUCGUGCAACGAGCCCGUUCCCGCUGUUUCAAUAAUUUGGGCAGAAGGAUGCGUUAUUGUCAG